rnacentral:rRNA from 1 species
AUUGAACGCUGGCGGCAGGCUUAACACAUGCAAGUCGAGCGAGAGGCGGACGGGUGAGUAAGGUCUGGGAAACUGCCUGAUGGAGGGAGAUAACUGCUGGAAAAGGUAGCUACUACCGCAUACCAUCAGAUGGGCCGAGAUGGGAUUAGCUAGUAGGUGGGGUAAUGGCUCACCAAGGCGACGAUCCCUAGCUGGCCUGAGAGGCUGACCAGCCACACUGGAACUGAGACACGGCCCAGACUCCUACGGGAGGCAGCAGUGGGGAAUAUUGCACAAUGGGCGAAAGCCUGAUGCAGCCAUGCCGCGUGAGUGAAGAAGGUCUUCGGAUCGUAAAGCACUUUCAGCGAGGAGGCGUUACUCGCAGAAGAAGCACCGGCUAACUCCGUGCCAGCAGCCGCGGUAAUAC